rnacentral:tRNA from 1 species
UGGAUCACCUCCUAACAGGGAGACAAACAACGAUUUUGAUGUCUGAGUUUUUUUAUUCUUAGGCCAAAAUCCUGUCACCUUAGGUCGAUCGGUACCUCAACUUUGAAGCUAAGAGUAUUCAGCAAUGGAUAUCUGCUUAGUGGAAAUUUUUAGUUCCUAAACUUUGUCUAGUUCACAACCCAUUAGGGAUGAGUCUCCUGGGCCAUUAGCUCAGGUGGUUAGAGCGCACCCCUGAUAAGGGUGAGGUCCCUGGUUCAAGUCCAGGAUGGCCCAUUCGGUGUAGGGGGUUUAGCUCAGUUGGUAGAGCGCCUGCUUUGCAAGCAGGAUGUCAGGAGUUCGAGUCUCCUAACCUCCACUGACUACCAAAAUCCCCAUCUCCAAAACCUGGAGUAUGAACUCGUAUGGAUUGUGUUUUAGAUGUGUCCGCUAGAUGACCCUAGCUUCUUGUUAUUUUAAGGCAUGGAAAAAAUUCCAUGAAAUUUAAUUGAUAGGAUGCUGGGCUCGAUUCAAUGUAUUGAGAGAUCAAUGCAUUGUUUUGAUGUCUGGUCGAACCUUGACAACUGCAUAGUAAGUCAGGAAAGAAUAAAGCAUCUUUAUGGAUGCAUCAUUCUUGAGUGUUAAUUCACGAUGGGGUGGUGUUAAUUCUAAAGCAAGAGCCGAGACUCCAGCAUGUUCUUUCAAAUGUGUCGAGCAUUUGAGAGUUUGAUUUUAAUUUCUAUUUUUAGAAGUUAGAAGAAUCUGUUUCAACGACAGCAAGCGUGUUGGAGAUACAUUGGUCAAGCUACAAAGGGCUCACGGCGGAUACCUUGGCACACAGAGGCGAUGAAG